GACGAACGCUGGCGGCGUGCCUAAUACAUGCAAGUAGAACGCUGAAGGAGGAGCUUGCUUCUCUGGAUGAGUUGCGAACGGGUGAGUAACGCGUAGGUAACCUGCCUGGUAGCGGGGGAUAACUAUUGGAAACGAUAGCUAAUACCGCAUAACAGUAGAUAUCGCAUGAUAUCUACUUGAAAGGUGCAAUUGCAUCACUACCAGAUGGACCUGCGUUGUAUUAGCUAGUUGGUGAGGUAACGGCUCACCAAGGCGACGAUACAUAGCCGACCUGAGAGGGUGAUCGGCCGCACUGGGAGUGAGACAGGGCCCAGCGGCACAGGGGAGGCGGCAGUAGGGCGACUGCGGGAAUGGACGGAAGUCCGUGCGAGCAGGGCGGAGUGAGUGAAGAAGGAGGUCGGGUGGUAAAUCGCUGAUGUAAGAGAAGAACGAGUGUGAGAGUGGAAAGUACACACAGUGACGGUACCGUACCAGAAAGAGACGGCUAACUACGUG
rnacentral:rRNA from 1 species